rnacentral:rRNA from 1 species
GACGAACGCUGGCGGCGUGCUUAACACAUGCAAGUCGAACGGGAUCCAAAGGCUUUUUGUUUUUGGUGAGAGUGGCGAACGGGUGAGUAACACGUGAGUAACCUGCCCCCUUCUUUUGGAUAACCGCAUGAAAGUGUGGCUAAUACAGGAUAUUCCAGGCUGGUCGCAUGAUUGGUUUGGGAAAUGGUUUGGUCUGGUGGGGGAUGGGCUCGCGGCCUCUCAGCUUGUUGGUGGGGUGAUGGCCUACCAAGGCGGUGACGGGUAGCCGGCCUGAGAGGGUGGGCGGUCACACUGGGACUGAGAUACGGCCCAGACUCCUACGGGAGGCAGCAGUGGGGGAUUUAGCACAAUGGGCGCAAGCCUGAUGCAGCGACGCCGCGUGAGGGAUGAAGGCCUUCGGGUUGUAAACCUCUUUCGCUGGGUUGAAAGGCCAUGCUUUGGGUGUGGUUGAUUUGAACUGGUAAAGAAGUACCGGCUAACUACGUG